rnacentral:rRNA from 1 species
UACGUAGGGUGCAAGCGUUGUCCGGAAUUAUUGGGCGUAAAGAGCUCGUAGGCGGUCUGUUACGUCCGCUGUGAAAACCCAGGGCUUAACCCUGGGCUUGCAGUGGAUACGGGUAGACUAGAGGCAGGUAGGGGAGAAUGGAAUUCCCGGUGUAGCGGUGAAAUGCGCAGAUAUCGGGAGGAACACCGGUGGCGAAGGCGGCUCUCUGGGACGGUACUGACGCUGAGACGCGAAAGCGUGGGGAGCGAACAGG